rnacentral:tRNA from 1 species
GCGCCCGUAGCUCAGCUGGAUAGAGCGCCGCCCUCCGGAGGCGGAGGUCACAGGUUUCGACUCCUGUCGGGCGCG